ensembl:lncRNA
GUUUUGGUGGGGCCGGGGUGGGGGUUAGGUUUGUGUUUUGCCUGAUGGAGAGACAGGAUUUGUCCCGUGUCUCCCAGUUCUUUGGGCGUCGGGUUCUGUGUGGAGGAAGAGGUCCGUUUCAGUUACAGGCUUGUGUUCUGCCUACAGCGACAGGGUUUGACGAGACUGUUUGAGCUCUGCCUGCGGGGAAAAAAAAAAUACAGACUGGUGUUUUAAGCAGCUGGGCUGGGUGGUGUUUGUGUGAAGGAGAUUGCUGGGUGUAACCCCCCAAGUGGGGAGGGGGUGCAGCAGACCGACUUCAUGGUAUAUUCACUGUCACAGCUGACUGGGAAAGUUUGGAAGGACAGAACAAACAAAUGGCGUUUUCCUACCGAGGCUACUCUUCAAGCCCGAUGACUUCGGAGACCAUUUUGACGCAGAGAUGGGGACAAAGAAGUUGGGACGGGUCUGUCUGGUGAGUCUUCCUUUCUAACACUCAACUGUUUAGUCCUUUCUGUCUGUCUGUCUGUCUGUCAUGCUGUUUGUCCAUCAAUUUUAAUUACAUUUCAAUUAAACGGGCUUGGCUGGCAUGGGAAACAUUUAAUCACAUUCCUGAAGCAAGUGGAAACAUUUAAAUGGUGAAAGGUAGCAAAAGCAAAAAAAAUCCCCCCAAAAAAUGAUUUGUAAAAUGUAUGGGCAUGAGUGUAAAGGGAUACUGGCAUUUCACAUUCUACGUUAUUAGCUAUGUAUGGGGUUGCAUCAAUGUACAAAUAGUAAUGAGCACGAAUCACAAGGUAAAAUAAAAAAAGAGAUAAAUAUUGGUUAGACAAAGACAAUGUCCUUCUCCCUGUCUUUUGUCUUCUUGCUGCUGUAAAUGACAAAGGUCCCAUAUGCUAAAACAGCUGCUUAUUUUGGCCUUGACCAAUGUGGUCAGCGUAAUUACACAGUCCCUGUUAAGACUCGGGCCUUCUGUGAUAGGCUGGUUCAUUACAUAAGGGUCAGAGGUCAAUGAUAGUCUCUAUAAUCAUGACAGUGUGUUCACUAACCCUAAGG